rnacentral:tRNA from 1 species
GAGGGUAUAGCUCAGUGGUAGAGUGCAUGCUUAGCAUGCAUGAGGUCCUGGGUUCUCUCCCCAGUGCCUCCU